rnacentral:rRNA from 1 species
AUGGCGUGUCGUCAGCUCGUGUCGUGAGAUGUUGGGUUAAGGUCCGUACGACGCGCAACCCUUGUCCUUAGUUACCAGCACGUUAUGGUGGGCACUCUAAGGAGACUGCCGGUGACAAACCGGAGGAAGGUGGGGAUGACGUCAAGUCAUCAUGGCCCUUACGGCCUGGGCUACACACGUGCUACAAUGGUCGGUACAAAGGGUUGCCAAGCCGCGAGGUGGAGCUAAUCCCAUAAAACCGAUCGUAGUCCGGAUCGCAGUCUGCAACUCGACUGCGUGAAGUCGGAAUCGCUAGUAAUCGUGAAUCAGAAUGUCACGGUGAAUACGUUCCCGGGCCUU